rnacentral:rRNA from 1 species
ACGUAGGUGACAAGCGUUAUCCGGAAUUACUGGGCGUAAAGCGCACGCAGGCGGCUGAUUAAGUCUGACGUGAAAUCUCCUGGCUUAACUGGGAGGGGGCGUUGGAAACUGGUCGGCUUGAGGCAGUGAGAGGGGUGUGGAAUUCCCUGUGUAGGGGUGGAAUGCGUAGAUAUCGGGAGGAACGCCGGUGGUGAAAGCGGGUCACUGGGCCUGUACUGACGCUGAGACGCGAGAGCGUGGGGAGCAAACAG